rnacentral:misc_RNA from 1 species
CUGGAAGAGUUACUCCAUGGAGUUGAGGAAGUAGUAUAACCAUUAUCAUGUUCAAGAGACACACUUGAAGCUGCUCUAUGCGUAGCAUUUUGAUUAAUGGGAAUUGUUAUAGGCAAGAAAUCUUCAUCAGCGGAUCCAUCUGAGGAAGCUGCAGGUUUGUCAGUGCUCUUAACAGUUCUAUACAUCUGUAAAUGGCUUUUGACAUGCGCAAGUGUUAGAUCUUUGACAUCCAUCAGCUCUAAAACUGACUUCGGUGUGGCUCUUUCAUGGCCACCAAGAAGCUCCACAGCGUGAACAAAACGGGCAUGUAGAGAGCUUGUCCAACGCAUUCUUGGUGCUCUCAUGUUCCUCUUG